rnacentral:rRNA from 1 species
UACGUAGGGGGCAAGCGUUAUCCGGAUUUACUGGGUGUAAAGGGAGCGUAGACGGUUGAUCAAGUCUGAAGUGAAAUGCAUGGGCUCAACCCAUGAACUGCUUUGGAAACUGGUUAACUAGAGUGCAGGAGAGGUAAGUGGAAUUCCUAGUGUAGCGGUGAAAUGCGUAGAUAUUAGGAGGAACACCGGUGGCGAAGGCGGCUUACUGGACUGUAACUGACGUUGAGGCUCGAAAGCGUGGGGAG